rnacentral:snoRNA from 1 species
GAAGAUACUGGCUAUAAAAGUAAGGCCUAUCUGAGUGUCAGAAGUAUGCUACAUUGAUGGCAGGAUUUUCACAAACACCAGUAGAACAUGCUUAUAUGACUGAAGUUUGGUAGUGACUGCUGCCACACAC